rnacentral:lncRNA from 1 species
GUUUGUGAUUCAGCGUGUCCCAAACAUGUCUUAAACCUACUCUAUUUUUUGAUGCUUCUACUUCAGUGCUAAUUUGUGUAUAUUAGAUGAUUCAUGCUUUUCAGAUGUUUUUCUGCUGUGCAGAUGGAUGACUUAAAAUUAAAAACCAAGUAGAACCUUGGAGUCUCCCUAUCUGAUGGCCUGCAAAAUCAAAAAAUCCAUUGGAAGCAUUUGUUGAAAUUGCACCCCUUGGACAAUUAGGGAAGCAUUAUUUGCUCUGCUGGCUUUGUAGUUGAAUUUAACACUAACAAGAAAUUAUUCACAUGGCCAGAAUGCAAAAUACAAUAAAUAUGUGGCCAACACUACUUCAAGUUCCUGGCUAGCCUGUAAUUCAAGAAUAUUGUAGUUUACUGUUGAGUCACUGGGGGUUCUCACAAAAGGUUUGGAACAGAAGCUUAAAGACAAUAAAAGAUCCUCUGAGGCUGCAAACAAUGCGUGUCUGUUCUGGGAACAGAAGCCAGGUCCCAGCUUCCAGCCUGCUGAAUUUUGGUAUUUGUGGCUUCAUUGGAAAUUUAAAUUCCAACUAGGAGGUCUGAGAAAAGGGUAGCUCCUUACUUUCUGUACAACAUCAGCCAUUUCUCUCUUGCACAUCAGUAUUAUUCAGUAUAUGAUUAGGCAAACCAUCAUUAUUUUUUUUUUCUGAGAUACAUACAUUGAAUUCUUGUAACUCAAAAAUACUACGAAAAUAUUUAAAGCAAUACAUAUUAGUAGCAGCUUGUUCAAUAGCAUAAUAGUUACUGAAUAUGUAUUAAUGUACUUCAGUUGCAAAGAGUACAUAAUAAUGCAAUUAAAUUAACAUCUAGAGACCAAUGUUAUGUGCUGAAAUAUAACAACAUGACUGGAAAAAUAUUAGUCCUAGACCCAGAUCUGUAAGAGCAUUGAUGAGCCAAAAGGUGAGUAUGUAUUUCUAAUUGAUUUAAAAAAAAAAAAAAAAAAAAAAACCACAAAACAAAAAAAACAGGGUUCCCUUUACUGACUUCUAAUGGUAGACAUAAGGUACUUUUAGCUAUAAUCUUGGCUAUAAAUUGCAGGCUUUCCAUAAUCUUAAAUGAAAUUUGGCUCAGAAAUUAAUCUCUGCAAAAUGUACCACUGUUAACAUAGAAAAAUACUCUAUAAACUAUUUUGUGAACAAAUAUAACUAAAUUAUAAUUAUUAAAAUAAAAGAACAGAACACACUCUAUGUAUUCUCUCU